AUUCCUAGGAUGAAUAUCAAAGAUAACUGAUUUGUUGGAAUGCAAAAUAAAUAGAUAAGUUACAGAAAAUAAAUAGACAAUAGAAAUAUUAUGUAGAAAAUUGCAAAUUAAUAUAAAUAAUAUAAAUAAUAAUAAAAAACAUGGCGAUACUAGCUGGAUAAUCACAAUUGCUUCUGCCACAAUAUCACGAAGCUGUAAAGGGAAUCGCAGGAUCUUCAACACAUCCAAACUACAUCAGUGACAUUAAUUCUAAUUACGUCUAAUUGGUUAUAAUAAACUACAGUUCAUUAUAUUCCGUGAACUAUAAAGAUGAUUGGGAUUUUCCAGUAUAUUUAUAUUGUAACCCAUGCUAUUAAUUAUUAAUUUUCUGAAUAAUGUACGAAAUAUAUUUAUUAAUUUCUAA